AUUGAACGCUGGCGGCAGGCCUAACACAUGCAAGUCGAGCGAGCGGCGGACGGGUGAGUAAUGUAUGGGGACUGCCCGAUAGAGGGGGAUAACUACUGGAAACGGUAGCUAAUACCGCAUACUAUCGGAUAACCCAUAUGGGAUUAGCUAGUAGGUGAGGUAAUGGCUCACCUAGGCGACGAUCCCUAGCUGGUCUGAGAGGGUGAUCAGCCACACUGGGACUGAGACACGGCCAAGACUCCUACGGAGGCAGCAGUGGGGAAUAUUGCACAAUGGGCGAAAGCCUGAUGCAGCAAUGCAGCGUGAAGGAAGAAGGCUUUAGGUUUGUAAAGUACGGUCGUGCGGGAGGCGUUACCGAAAGAAAAAGCACCGGCUAACUCCGUGCCAGCAGCCGCGGUAAUAC
rnacentral:rRNA from 1 species